UUUUUUUUUUUUUUUUUUUUUUUUUUUUUUUUUUUGA
rnacentral:ribozyme from 1 species